CACUCUUUCCAUCGCAAUUUCUUUAUCAAACGACAAGUCUGACGAGUUGCUGGGGCUAUCAUUUUCGAAAUCAACCUCUUUAUCUUCAUUCCGUUCUGCGCUGUUCGAUUUCCGCAAUUUCUCGGCAUUUGGACGUUGCCUUCGCCGCGGUAGCCGGCGAUGCAGCCUGAACUGAUAUCGCAGCUUGCUUUCAGCUUGGCCGCCAUUUUGCCAUAUGUCGGUGCGUGCGGUUGCAUGCAAGAAUGCUUUGGUCAGUAGCUUUAACUUCAGCCGUCAGACCGGAAUUCACGUCGCUUUUUUCGAAGGCUCCGCAGAGUGACUGAAAUAAUGCUGGCUUCUCGCUUAUGUUGGAUAUUCCGGUGGUUCAAUGCUUCGAACCAAGGGUGUACGGACAGCCUGGUAAAGCUACGUUUCCCAGCAGACGAGGCUUCAACAUUUUAAAAGGUGCCACAAGUUGACUGAAAGAAUGCUGGUUGCUCGUGCACUGCAUGGCCUCGUCGUGGCUCACGGUUCGAACAAUGCAGGGGCCGAGAGCCAGGCGAAGUGCUGCUUCGCUGCAGAUGAGGUGCGGAUGGCCAGUGGAACGAGAGCAACAUCUGGGCGAUUGUUUGCGGAGGCGACCACACGGCUUCAGUGCGAAUGCAGGGCCCACAGAGUUUCUGGCUUUGUGUCAGGAUCGCUAUCUGACGGUGUACAAUAGUUCAAGGUUUCUUGCCCACAUGUCUUUCACCGUGCUUCUCACGUACACGUGUGAUGUUUUUUUUUCGUUUUGUUUUUCAUGAGUGCCAAGAACAAACGAUCGACGUUCUUCUGAACGUGCUGUUGGUCAAAGGCGAUGCUGGCCUUUCGUGCCGCCUCACCUGGUCAAGCACUGGAGGCCGCAUUGUCGCCGACUAUGCGAAUCAAGCCAGCAAGUUUUCCGCGGCUAACAGAGGUCUUCAUGUUUUACUGAAGUCUCCGUCGUCUUGAGUGGUCGGCGCCCCUAUUCCAGAGCACCGCGGAGCCUGGCCACAUUGAGACCGUGUUGCACCAAUCCUUUUUGGACUAUGAGCACGCCGCUGAGGACCGGUGUCUUGCUGCCUGACCUAGGGAACUGGUGGCCAGGCCUUCUAGCGUGAUGGUGCCUCGCAGCCUCCACUGCAUAUCCUGCGACCUGGUACCUCAGUGCCGGCCCUGCAACCUGGUGUCCAGCUGUUCUAUCUGCGUGAUGUGUUGCUGCGGACCCCGUAGACCCGGUGGCAAGUUGUUCCUGCGGCCUCCACGGCCGCUCAUCAGAACAUCGCGCAUGCGUUAAGGGAUCACAGGUGGCAAAAUGUUUUUUCUGUAAUAAUUUUGCAUCAAAAGACAAGUAGGGCUAGUUGCUAACAUGCGUAAAAUGAGCUUUGGUAUUAGGGUCUCUCGUUUCGCAUUAUUCGAUUUCGCCAAUUUCUUUGCAUUUAAACAUUGUCUUCGCUGCAAUAACAGGCAAUGUAGCCUCAUUUCAUAUCGCGGGUUGCUUUCGCGAUGGCGGUCACUUUGUUACUGUGGGUGCAUGUAGCUGUGGGAAAGAGUCCUCGCCUACUUUCGUGAAUCUCUAUAGCAUUUACCAUCCGAACGCCACCCACGCCGCUUUUUAGAGACACCACGACAUGGGUGGAUCAAUGCUGGCUGCUCGUUUAUGUUAUACAUCACCAUGGUGUUUGGUUCGCACAACGCAGGGAUGGACAGCUGGGGAUGUUAUGCUUACUAUCAGAUAAAGUGAGCACAAUCAUUGCGAGUGUUCGGAAAUAAUUACGCUCAGUAAAUAAUUCGUCCCCUACUGAUAACUUUUAAUUUUUUCACUUUUUGCUUUUUGCCACGACAUCUUUAAAUAUUCCUAAACCACUCUAACUCUCAACUUUUUAAGGAAAUAUUGAUCAAGAACUACUUAACGGCUGUCUGCCGAGCGUCAGACUACCGAGCGUCAGACUACCGAGCGUCAGACUACGGAGCGUCAGACUACGGAGCGUCAGACUACGGAGCGUCAGACUACGGAGCGUCAGACUACGGAGCGUCAGACUACGGAUCGACAGGCUACGGAUCGACAGGCUACGGAUCGACAGGCUACGGAUCGACAGGCUACGGAUCGACAGGCUACGGAUCGACAGGCUACGGAUCGACAGGCUACGGAUCGACAGACCACCGAGAGCGUCAUGGACCGUCGCGGAGAGCGUCAUGGACCGUCGCGGAGAGCGUCAUGGACCGUCGCGGAGAGCGUCAUGGACCGUCGCAGAGAGCGUCAUGGACUGUCGCGGAGAGCGUCAUGGACCGUCGGAGAGCGUCAUAGACGGUCGGAGAUCAUCGGAGAGCGUCAGAGAGUCAUACUGCAGGGUGUCCCAAAGAACGAAGUAUUUGACUGAAAUAUUCUGUUUUUCAGCAGGAUCUGGAAGUAGGACACAUUUGUAAUCAGACGUAUUCAGGACAUAUUCGAAACAUUUGUAAUUUUGAGAAAGCUUUUCGGCAGCUUCGCGUAGACUUUCACCGAGGGCCAUCUACACUUUGCUGAGGUGCCUGUGCUGAUGUCCCUGAGUAUCUCAACAGAGAUUGCAUCUAUGAGAAAGUUUUUUGGCGUUCGUCAAUGCACGGGGCUAAAAUAAAACAAUAGCGUUCCGAUUGUCCAUGCUGCAUUAUAAGUGACAUCAGUAUAUCGUAUCACGUUCUGUUUAUGCUCAUUCUUUGUUUCCCUUUUUUUCAUGGACGAACCUUGAAAGUUGGCUUUGUAUGGUGGCCACCAGGGCGCUCCGCAGCCAGCUGAGGUACUACCUCUAACAGUAGUACCUCGGACCGAGAUUAGAUGCCCGCAAGGGCAUCCCCGCUAAGGGGAGAUUGGUGAGAAGUUCGCCUGCAUGGUCCCAGCACCCUCGCCUGGCCUGUGCGCAGCUUACCUUGUCUAGGGAAAGGGAAAUCCUGUUGGCUGAGCAGACGACGAGUGUUUGGACCUUUAAGGUCCCUCGAAUGAAGCAACGCUCUUUGUAGCCCGCUUCCCAAUAGACGGUACCCCGAGAUUGACUCGCCCGGGGGAAAUCAGCCGCUGCCAUUUCCUGACCUCCUCUCCACACUUUUAUCUCUAUUUCCUUUCUUCUAUCUCUAUUUCCUCUGUUCUAUCUGUCCUGCCAGCUCAUUCCUUCUUUUCUUUCCUCUUUUUUUGGACAGCGAGGGUUAACCUUGUGCGUAUUGGUCAACCGUGGCCAUUAUGCAUAGUUAUAAUGGCCGCGUACGGUUAAUGCAUUCGAACCCUUCCCUGGUUGGGCAUCGGGGUGCGUGACCAGCUCGGCUACCAAAUAACAAAUAAAAUCUUAUGGCUGCCAAGAAACCUUUCUCUGACCCAGGAGAAGGGGUCGGACCAAAGUUAAACAAGUACUAGCACAAAAAACGUUAAAUUUUCCGAGGUUUUCCGUUGAGCACUCCAUGACCGACGAACUGCUGGCUGACCUAUCUGCCUUGUUAAACACAAAGAACGUCCGAAACAAUGUGGGAAAGUUUUCUAAGUGAAGAAACUGAAAAAGUGAGACUCUCUAGCAGAAAUCUAAAUGCCAAGGCACCAAAUCGCUAUCUCUGAAAAAGCUUUGCAAAAUGGAUGUGGCGAUGACACAUCGCUACACCCUUAACUACACGACGGGUGUCGUUUCCGAGCAGGAACUUUUGCAAAGUACAGAUGUACAAAUCGGAGAGGAAGUGCUGAACAAGGAGCAAUCGCCGCCCGACAGAUCACAAUGGGAAAAAAUACAUAAAGACAUAACAUAUUGUCUUAACUUUCAACAGCAUAAUUCUGCCCGGCUGCAUUCACGCACCAUACAUGCGUUGCAACGUGCGCCCUUAUAUCCCAAACCCUAAGUGAUGCUUUAAAUGCAAGUUUUGGAUAUGGCUCGCUGUCAUGCGGGGGCAAGCUUGCAUGCUUCGCGUGCGAAUAUCAAUGCACAGAAGAGAGAUUUGAGCGCACCACCAAAUUAAGUGCACAACUUUACCAGCUGUCUCUACAUCUCAUAUUCUUUGAGCAUCUUGUGAACACCUGAUUGGUACACAUCUUGGAAACGAAUAAGAGAAUACAUCAAUGUCAACGUGGUUUCUGACACCCUGGAUCUUUAGUUGAUCUGUUGGUGCGUCUUGAAACAAAAUACGGGAGGCGCACGCAAAUGGCCAAUACAGUCUGCCAGCAUUUUUACAGCGAUGCUGGCGAUAUAUUUUCGUCG